AGUGGCGCACGGGUGCGUAACACGUAUGCAACCUGCCCUUAAUCGGGGGAUAGCCUCUCGAAAGAGAGAUUAAUACCCCAUAAGAUAUUGAUUAGGCAUCUAAUUAAUAUUAAAACUCCGGUGAUUAAGGAUGGGCAUGCGGCUGAUUAGGUAGUUGGUGAGGUAAUGGCUCACCAAGCCAACGAUCAGUAGGGGGUCUGAGAGGAUGUCCCCCCACACUGGUACUGAGACACGGACCAGACUCCUACGGGAGGCAGCAGUAGGGAAUAUUGGACAAUGGGGGCAACCCUGAUCCAGCCAUUCCGCGUGCAGGAAUAAGGCCCUAUGGGUCGUAAACUGCUUUUGUAUGGGAAAAAAUCAUCUUACGUGUAAGGUGUUGAUGGUACCAUGAGAAUAAGGAUCGGCAAACUUCGUGCCAGCAGCCGCGGUAAUACGAAGGAUCCAAGCGUUGUCCGGAUUUACUGGGUUUAAAGGGUGCGUAGGCGGGGAAUUAAGUCAGUGGUGAAAGCUGGUAGCUUAACUAUCAAAUUGCCAUUGAAACUGAUUUUCUCGAGUGCGGUUGAGGUAGCUGGAAUGUAACAUGUAGCGGUGAAAUGCUUAGAUAUGUUACAGAACACCAAUUGCGAAGGCAGGCUACUAAACCGUAACUGACGCUGAGGCACGAAAGCGUGGGGAUCAAACAGGAUUAGAUACCCUGGUA
rnacentral:rRNA from 1 species